CCCCAGCUCAGGGUGCAUCGGUCACUGGCAGAGCCGAUGAGCGGCGUGAAGAGCAGGCCGAGGACGGGGCUCAGGAACCAGAGUGAGACGGCAGAACUCCGUGCAGUUCUAUCAGCUGCAGCUACGCAGCCUGAGAUCUGGCUAUGAAUGUGCAAAGGCCAUUCAGGAAGCAAACGGAGCCACGAGCAGUGUACACGCGAGGCUUGGGUCCCUCCCUGCGUCUUUGGUUCUGUGAGACAGGAAGAGGGCUGGCAGCUGCCAUGUCUUCGCCACCCUGUGGCACAACUAAGGAAUUUUCAGUUCAAGGUGGAGAGAGACACAGAGACAGACAGACACACCGGUCAGCCCAUGCCAUUCCCUUCUUCCAAUUGCCCCUCCUCUUCCAGGUUCUGGCCCUCUGUUACUCUACUGCCUUUGGGGAGUCGUUCUUUACAUCCUGUCCACAAUCUGCGCCCGUUACCUGUGGGAGGGCUUCUGCAGGUGCUUCUCUGUGACCUCUGGCUGCCUGACCCUUGGCAGCCAUUAUUGGCCUCAUGGACUCUGUGCCGUGACCAUCUGCCUUCUGCCCUGCUUUGUCACACUGCAAGCUGCAGAGAGAGGCAACCAACAUGUCCUGUUCCCUCAAACCAAACUGUGUCAUGCAGCAACUGCCAGCUCUCUCUGCAUGCCACGUUGCCCUGACCUUCUGACUCAGGGUAACCGGUAAGUGGCCAGCAGGUAGGGUGAACUGCAGUCACUGACACAGGUCAGAAGGGAGACUGGUGGCAGGGACAGCUCUCCAUGACCUACUGAUGGUGAUGAUCUUGUGACAGGAUUUACAGAGCCUGGUCACAUGUCACUGUGUUCUCACAGUCACCACUGAGGCUUAUAUUAUGGUUCCUGCUUUCUGGUGAGGAGAGGAAGGCUCAGAGAGGUGACCUGCUGACAUGGUGACAGUCCAAUGAAUGGCCUGACAAAGACAAUCCGCCAGCACCCACGAUCCCAACACCCCUUGUCAGCUCUGCGUGGGUGCAGCCACCCGAGGGCCAGCAGCAGCACCAGGCCUGGUUCGAAUCUCGAGCUGGGGUCUGGAGACAGGUCUGUUACCUCCUCUGUUACACCUGGGCCAACUGGCCAACCUGGCACCUGCUACCAGCUUUGCUACCAGCGGGUCUCAGGGCUGGAAGCCUAGGCUCAGGAAGUGGCUGGGAAGGUAGGUGUUAAGGCAGAAGGAGGGCAAGCUGGCACCAGGAGGAUGGGCGUAGACACAUGCCACUCAUCCCCUUCCCACUGAACACUCUCCAUGUAAGAAUAGAGAUGCACCAGGCUCCCUGGCAGAAGCUCCAGUCAACUUCAGCCUCUCAGGUUGAGGUCAGUAAGGUGGAGGGAGACCACCAGGCCUCAUACCUGGAGAAGUGAGCUACAUGCCUCUGUAGGGCCGUGGUCAGCCAUGAACACUCUUGGACCAAGCAUGGACACGCAUAGGGCCUGGCCACAGGGGACUGUCCAUAACUCAUCCUCUUGAGCGUGUGCAAGGCCCUGUGUCAGCUGGACUCAUGCAGAAGCCCCACUACAAGGACAGGCAGAGGGAACCUGCCCACUGAGCCCCACAGAAAAUGUCUGGGGGUCGUCAUUAGACCCCACAGAGCCCUCGGGUCGACUGCCCCACGUUCCUCUCCUCAGAGACUCUUUCACUGCAGGCCAACGGGUCGGCUCAGGAAGUGGUGGGAGUCGCGGCACGAGGGACAGACACCCUGUGCUCUGCUGAAUAGCUGCAGCUGCUUUUCAAAGCUGCAACCACAGGAAGUCAGGGAGACUGAGGCACAGAGGCCAUGGCUUAGCACCCACUCAACCCAACACAUGGCGGGGGUCAGAUGCAGCCUCCCCAGGGCCAGUGGCACUGUUCUCAGUCCACCCACAUGCCGCACCCCAAGGCUGCUCUCCAGAGGCUGUCCCCAAGGGCAAGAGUGUGCUGGGGCGAGCCUGCUCUGUGGGUGUGUGCUUCUCUGGGCAGAGCCCUGCACUGACCUGCAGCUCUGGCUGGGAGGGACGCAGGUAGCUCUAGGCACGGAGUUCUCAGAUGGGAGCUGGGAAAGCCCAGCACUCUUCUGAAAAUAGGGCUGUAACUGGAGAGUAUUUUAUGAUUGGGCAGCAGUGGCCAGGGAUCGGGGAGGCAAAAGGAGAUUGUAGGUGUGGGCCAAAGCUCCACGCCCCCAGGGAGAAUGCUCCCAGUCACCAGCUACAUCCGGCCUGGUACUGAUGGCUCCAGGGGAUGCACAGACCCACUGGGCACCAGCCUGCCUUCUCCAGCUCACAGCAAGCCUGAUGCCCGAGGGGCAAAAAGAGAUGGCCUUGGGGAAAACCACCUGCCAGGCCCUCAGCUCCUGCUCCUACCCCACCUGCUCCCCCGGCCAGCCAUUACUCACUGCCGAGGCCUUGAGCCUUUGGGCAGAGUCCUCGCAGGCUCACCAGCUCACCUGGGCCCCAGAGGAGGUAGAGGUCGCCACCCCUCUCCUCCUGUCCUCAGCCACCCUCCCCUCCCCGCCUCACAUGCCCCCAUCUGUGUCUCUGGCUUGGGGCUUUGCUCUGCUGAGCAGCAUGUGCUGGCACCUCCACCUGGGGGCUGCUUCCCUCUCCCUCAGUCCUGACCCCCACAGUCACCCUGCCCUGCCCUGCCCACCAAGCUCUCUUGUCAGGCCACCAACCCACGAGGGCCUCCCCAAGGCCAGAGCUGCGGAAGACCCAUGCUCAGAGCCUUUGGCAGCUCCUCCUGGCCUGACGUUAUAAAUAACUUUAACACACAAGGUGGAGGGCCCAGGUUAGAUCUUCCCAAGCCAUGUGUCCUCAGAGCCUGGUCAGACCCAGCAGCUUAGGGGCUUCUCCUGUCCACCCUUCCCCUGCCCCUUGGGCACCCAGUCGACUUGGAACAGCAUCACCGUAUUGAGACAGCAGGCCCUGGGCAGGUCUGCUCCAGCAGCGGUCACACCAAGCCUGCUGGGCAUGCAGACACCUGCUGAGGCACCAGCUCCCAGUGAUCGGGGACACACUUUGCUUCCCUUCAGUGGAUACAACACUGCUCGGUGGCAGGCUCAGCCCAUUGCUGCAAUCCCCCCAUGUUGGAGGAUGGCUUAUGGAGGAGCUGGAGACCAGCCUGGGCAAAUGAGACCCCCAUCUCAAAAUCAAAUCAGCACAUGCCUGUCGUCUCAGCAACUUGGGAGGCUUCAGUAGGAGGAGUGCAGAUGAGCAAGAUCCUGCCUCAAAAUCAAAUGAAAAGGGCCGGGGAUCUGCUCAGUGGUAGAGUGCUUGCCUAGCGAGUGGGAGGCCCUGGGUUCCAUCCCAAGCACUGCACAAGAACAAACACACCCAACUAGGGGCAGCCAACCAACCCCUUGGGCAUACAGGUGCUACUUAAUCUGCUUGAGCCUAUCACAGACGAGGUGUCUAGAAGAGGAGACCAAAGCAGGGAUCACAGUACUGCCAACCCCGUGGCCUGGUUCCCUAAGCACGUGUGGCCCCCACCCUGAAUGGGCCUCACCUCCCUAGCAGCCCACUAGCUCCUGAGGGCUGGCCAUGCAGCCAAUUCCUCUGUGCUCAGCAACGCUGACUGACAACAGUGUGGGGUCGCGCCAUGCCAAUCCGACCCCCAACUCUCCUCCCCGGAAGGAGUGUGAUGCCUGAGAUGAGAGCUCUUUACCAUGGACACACACACAGGUUACUGGACACCUAUGGGUGGGUUUGUGGUCUCCCAGGUGUUGCCUUGGGGUUAAGUAAGACACCACCAAAGCCUAAAAACCAUGGCUGGGUGAGGCAGGCAGCUGGCACAGCCAGGGCUCCGGCAGGAAGGCUGAAGGACCUGGGGAGCACAGGCUGGAAGAGGGGUUGAGCCCAGGCCCACAGAGCAGCAGGGGCGGCCUCUCCCUUCUCCCAACUCCCCUGGAAGUUCUUUCCAGGCUGCCAAGGGUCAGACCAGCAGGAAAUGAGGGCCUCUGCUCCAGAGCUACCUGCCACUGAGCUCACAAGUCCCAGGAAGGGGACAGAGCCCACAGAGCUGGCCAAGUGACAGGGUGACAGCUCUCUUUUGUUUCACAUGUUGGCAAGAAAAAUAAACACUUCCCAUCACGUCUCCAA